rnacentral:rRNA from 1 species
GACGAACCGUCCUAACGUUGUUCGGAAUCACUGGGCUUAAAGGGCGCGUAGGCGGCCCUGGAAGUCGGGGGUGAAAGCCCACGGCCCAACCGUGGAAGUGCCUCCGAUACUGCGGGGCUCGAGGGAGGUAGGGGCAGCGGGAACUUCCGGUGGAGCGGUGAAAUGCGUUGAUAUCGGAAGGAACGCCGGCGGCGAAAGCGCGCUGCUGGACCUCUGCUGACGCUGAGGCGCGAAAGCCAGGGGAGCAAACGGG